rnacentral:rRNA from 1 species
UACGGAGGGGGCUAGCGUUGUUCGGAAUUACUGGGCGUAAAGCGCGCGUAGGCGGCUUUGUAAGUUAGAGGUGAAAGCCCGGAGCUCAACUCCGGAAUUGCAUUGGAAACUGGCGGGCUUGAGUGUGGCAGAGGGGGGUGGAAUUCCACGUGUAGCAGUGAAAUGCGUAGAGAUGUGGAGGAACACCGAUGGCGAAGGCAGCCCCCUGGGCUAACACUGACGCUCAGGCACGAAAGCGUGGGGAGCAAACAGG